AGACGUCUACAUUAGAUACCCCUGUAGUCCCAGCCGUAAACUAUGCGCGUUAGGUGUAUCGGUGACCACGAGUUACCGAGGUGCCGAAGGGAAACCGUGAAACGUGCCGCCUGGGAAGUACGGUCGCAAGGCUGAAACUUAAAGGAAUUGGCGGGGAGCACAACAACGGGUGGAGCCUGCGGUUUAAUUGGACUCAACGCCGGGAAGCUCACCGGAUAGGACAGCAGAAUGAUUGCCGGGCUGAAGACCCUGCAUGACUAGCUG
rnacentral:rRNA from 1 species